rnacentral:lncRNA from 1 species
CUUGAAGGGAAAUGAAUUUGUAGGCUGUCCCUACAAAUGGGUGGGUGUGGAAAGGAUAGAAAUGGAUUUUGAACAGACUGCAGAUGUUUUCUAGACUGAUGGCGAGCUGCAAAGCUAUGAGCCAAGUCUGUCAAUAGGAAAAGAUGAAGGAGGCCUUUGUAGGAAGAACACUGCCCUUGAGAUACAUGUAAAAACAGCAAGAGUUGCGGUGUGCGAGAGGACAGAAAUAACAGCGGGGGCUCAAAAAAAGCAGCGGAUGUAAAAAGGGUGGAGGCAUGGCCCUGCUGAUGACAGCAAUGCUUGGUGUGGCCAAGGCUCAUGCGGCCACAGAAAGCCCACAGGACAGCUCCCAGAUGCACUGCAAGCAUCUGUCCCACCAUCCCCAGCUCACAGCAAAGCAGACACCUGAAGCAGAAGCUGCUCCCCAAAAGCAGCGCCCCAGAAGAUGCUGGGGCAGGUGCCAUGGGCAAGGCUGUCUCCUUCUGGCCCUGCCGUCCUGCUCCUGGCCCUCUGUGAGUUGGGACAUUGUUGGGUGUGGGGGCUGAGGGCUGGAGGGUUGCUGCUGGGGGCAGGACAGGCACAUGAUGGGCACAGGGGAGGAUGGGGACAGCGUGUGUGGGGCAGGUGUGCAGCACCGUGGGGCAGAGUGUGUUUUGGGAAGGCAGGAUGGGGAUGGCUUCCUCCAAUUAUAAAACACAUCUGAGCAAGGGGCACACUUCUCCAGCACCAUAAAUUGUCUGGAGUGUUGCUCUGAGGCUCUAGGACUGCUGAGGUCUUUACGGAGCUAUGGGACUUACCUGGAACAAGGAAUCCACGCAAAAUAGGAUUGGAAGUGGCAUUGUUUGAGGGGGUAUUGAAGAGGUACAGCAUGAGAACAUGCAGGUGUGAUGGUGGCUGCUUAGCAGUGAGGAUGUGGGCAGGGGCAUCAGGAUGAGCCAGGACACUGCUCCUCUCAGCAAAUCCCUCUCUGCCCCUUGGUACAGGUGGCAGCAUGACCUCCCAGGACAUCUGCAGCUUCCCAGGUACUCGUGAGUCCUUCCCUCCCAGAGCCAGGGCACUUGGAAGCCCAACCACUGUGAGCUCUGCCCUAUGGCAGCCCUUCACUGCUGUGUCUCCUGCAGGGGAUCUCCGAGCUCCUGCUCUCCAAAUGAACUCAACUUCUGCUCAGCCAGGUACCACAGUUGUGCUCCAGUGUAUUCUCCAUGUGGUGUCAAGUGUAAGACAAGUCAUUUUCUGCAAGGAUGGGAUGGAGGUGUACAGUCUGAAAGCCCAGCAAGGGCAGCUGAGAUACUCCGUGGUCCUGAACAUCACGUCAAGGAGCGCAGGAAGAUAUACAUGUGGGUACCAGCAGAGGAAUGAGAUGAAACAGAGGAGGAGCUCUGCCCUCAGUGCUGGCCGCAUCCUGAAUGUCCCUGGCAAUGUGGCCAGCACCCCAGAAAGGCCAUCAUCCCCAGGUGAGUGAUUCCCUCCUGCACCACCGGGACCUCCAGGUCCCGCUGUCCCUGCAGCACUACCUCUGCUGCAGACAUGGGGCUGUGCAGGGCCCAUGCACAGAGAAGAAGUGCUGGGGAUGUGGAUGGAUGCUGAGUCAAGCCAGGGAUGCUCCAAGGUCUGCCCUGUACAUUGAUGAGCCUAUGGCAGGGCAGGUAGAUUAAUUGUCAUGAGCUGAGCCGUAAUGUACGUGUGAGCAAAGGGACAAUAUUUCUGGAACUAAAAAUGUAGCUGGAGCCAUAUUGUGAAAGGAGUGAUAUUGGAGUGCUCAGGGAUCCAGGGACCUCUCCCUGGAAAAACAAACCAACCAAAAAUGGCUGGGGAUGGACACAGGGCAGAACACCUCUACUGCAGACCU